AGUGAACGCUGGCGGUAGGCCUAACACAUGCAAGUCGAACGGCAGCACAGUAAGAGCUUGCUCUUACGGGUGGCGAGUGGCGGACGGGUGAGGAAUACAUCGGAAUCUACUUUUUCGUGGGGGAUAACGUAGGGAAACUUACGCUAAUACCGCAUACGACCUACGGGUGAAAGCAGGGGAUCUUCGGACCUUGCGCGAUUGAAUGAGCCGAUGUCGGAUUAGCUAGUUGGCGGGGUAAAGGCCCACCAAGGCGGCGAUCCGUAGCUGGUCUGAGAGGAUGAUCAGCCGCACUGGAACUGAGACACGGUCCAGACUCCUACGGGAGGCAGCAGUGGGGAAUAUUGGACAAUGGGCGCAAGCCUGAUCCAGCCAUACCACGUGGGUGAAGAAGGCCUUCGGGUUGUAAAGCCCUUUUGUUGGGAAAGAAAAGCAGCAGGUUAAUACCCCGCUGUUCUGACGGUACCCAAAGAAUAAGCACCGGCUAACUUCGUG
rnacentral:rRNA from 1 species